GACUUCUUACUCAUGUUCUGUGG
rnacentral:piRNA from 1 species